rnacentral:lncRNA from 1 species
AGAUCUCCAAUGUCCCCCUCCAGUCUGCAGAUGCACGGCUGGUGGUGUGGCUCAGACGGAGCAAGGGUUACAUCAAGGCUAUUCUCUGGACCGUGCAAACAGUCUAGACCAAUGACCUGCAGCAUCAUGUCCUUUGAAGAAGAGGCAAGUUCGGUCAUGAUGAAGAAAAAUCAAGGCGUACCCCUUUUAACAAUAGGGAGCAGCUCGAGGCUGCAAAGAGGACAUCCAUAAAAAUUCAUCAGAGAGCAUUUUACUACUGAGCUGCAAAGGUAGGAAAAAUAAAUUUUUUUUGGUUAGAAAAUAUACUUCUUUCAUCUGCGUUUCAAUAAUUUAUUCCCCUUGUUAGAUAUACAUGGAAUUGAUAUUGCUUAUUCUGACUAAGUGAAAAGUGUUAUUUCUACUUACUGCUCAAUUAGAAACAUGUAGUGUUUAAUUGUCAGUUUGAAUUUUUCUUUCAUACUAUUACAGUUUAUAUUUUACUAUAGGCAGAAUUUCCUCUUUAUCCUAAAUUUUGAUAUUCUCCAUAAUUUCAUCGUGCCUUGACAUUGCUGUAUAUAAUUUCUAUACAUCAGGAAGGCAAUUCUGUGUGCAUGUGUGUGUGUAUAUAUAUAGUUAGAAGUUAGAAACUGAAACUCUUUUUUGUCUACCAUCAUUUCAUAUUUUUCUUGCUAUUUCAAACCUAUAAUUUUUAAAGAAACGACUAACGUAAUCAUUCAUAGAAUAUGCUGUCAGUAACUUAACAAUAUAAAUGUUAACAUGGAGGCAUUUAGUUCAGCAUUUGCUUUACUUAAUAGAGUGCAGAAAAUGUGGCCCUUUUCUCAGUUAGGGUGUAUGUGAAGAUAAAUUUAGAAUUUCUAGACUAGUAAAUACUUCUCUGAUAAUAACUUAAUUAUAGCUAUUUCAAACCAAAUUGUUUAAUUGUGGUGAAUCAUAUGUAAAUUGUUCAGAUGUAGGUCAACACCCACGCCCACAUUCUAGCACCUCUUUCCUAAUUCAAGACAACUUUGCAGUGCCUAAAAGAGCUGAACAGUGCAGAUUAGAGACAUAAGACAAAAAAAAAAAAAAAA